AUUGAACGCUAGCGGGAUGCUUUACACAUGCAAGUCGAACGAGUGGCGGACGGGUGAGUAAUAUAUCGGAACGUGCCCAGUAGCGGGGGAUAACUACUCGAAAGAGUGGCUAAUACCGCAUACUAUUGGAGCGGCCGAUAUCGGAUUAGCUAGUUGGUGGGGUAAAGGCUCACCAAGGCCACGAUGCAUAGCCGACCUGAGAGGGUGAUCGGCGACACGGGGACUGAGACACGGCCCAGACCCCUACGGGAGGCGGCAGUGGGGAAUUUUGGACAAAGGGGGAAACCCUGAUCCAGCCAUCCCGCGUGUAUGAGAAGGCCUUCGGGUUGUAAAGUACUUUUGGCAGAGAAGCGGUAUCUGCAGAAUAAGCACCGGCUAACUACGUGCCAGCAGCCGCGGUAAUAC
rnacentral:rRNA from 1 species